rnacentral:rRNA from 1 species
GGGUUGUGAGGUUAAGCGACUAAGCGUACACGGUGGAUGCCCUGGCAGUCAGAGGCGAUGAAGGACGUGCUAAUCUGCGAUAAGCGUCGGUAAGGUGAUAUGAACCGUUAUAACCGGCGAUUUCCGAAUGGGGAAACCCAGUGUGAUUCGUCACACUAUCAUUAACUGAAUCCAUAGGUUAAUGAGGCGAACCGGGGGAACUGAAACAUCUAAGUACCCCGAGGAAAAGAAAUCAACCGAGAUUCCCCCAGUAGCGGCGAGCGAACGGGGAGCAGCCCAGAGCCUGAAUCAGUGUGUGUGUUAGUGGAAGCGUCUGGAAAGGCGCGCGAUACAGGGUGACAGCCCCGUACACAAAAAUGCACAUAUUGUGAGCUCGAUGAGUAGGGCGGGACACGUGGUAUCCUGUCUGAAUAUGGGGGGACCAUCCUCCAAGGCUAAAUACUCCUGACUGACCGAUAGUGAACCAGUACCGUGAGGGAAAGGCGAAAAGAACCCCGGCGAGGGGAGUGAAAAAGAACCUGAAACCGUGUACGUACAAGCAGUGGGAGCACGCUUAGGCGUGUGACUGCGUACCUUUUGUAUAAUGGGUCAGCGACUUAUAUUCUGUAGCAAGGUUAACCGAAUAGGGGAGCCGAAGGGAAACCGAGUCUUAACUGGGCGUUAAGUUGCAGGGUAUAGACCCGAAACCCGGUGAUCUAGCCAUGGGCAGGUUGAAGGUUGGGUAACACUAACUGGAGGACCGAACCGACUAAUGUUGAAAAAUUAGCGGAUGACUUGUGGCUGGGGGUGAAAGGCCAAUCAAACCGGGAGAUAGCUGGUUCUCCCCGAAAGCUAUUUAGGUAGCGCCUCGUGAAUUCAUCUCCGGGGGUAGAGCACUGUUUCGGCAAGGGGGUCAUCCCGACUUACCAACCCGAUGCAAACUGCGAAUACCGGAGAAUGUUAUCACGGGAGACACACGGCGGGUGCUAACGUCCGUCGUGAAGAGGGAAACAACCCAGACCGCCAGCUAAGGUCCCAAAGUCAUGGUUAAGUGGGAAACGAUGUGGGAAGGCCCAGACAGCCAGGAUGUUGGCUUAGAAGCAGCCAUCAUUUAAAGAAAGCGUAAUAGCUCACUGGUCGAGUCGGCCUGCGCGGAAGAUGUAACGGGGCUAAACCAUGCACCGAAGCUGCGGCAGCGACGCUUAUGCGUUGUUGGGUAGGGGAGCGUUCUGUAAGCCUGUGAAGGUGUGCUGUGAGGCAUGCUGGAGGUAUCAGAAGUGCGAAUGCUGACAUAAGUAACGAUAAAGCGGGUGAAAAGCCCGCUCGCCGGAAGACCAAGGGUUCCUGUCCAACGUUAAUCGGGGCAGGGUGAGUCGACCCCUAAGGCGAGGCCGAAAGGCGUAGUCGAUGGGAAACAGGUUAAUAUUCCUGUACUUGGUGUUACUGCGAAGGGGGGACGGAGAAGGCUAUGUUGGCCGGGCGACGGUUGUCCCGGUUUAAGCGUGUAGGCUGGUUUUCCAGGCAAAUCCGGAAAAUCAAGGCUGAGGCGUGAUGACGAGGCACUACGGUGCUGAAGCAACAAAUGCCCUGCUUCCAGGAAAAGCCUCUAAGCAUCAGGUAACAUCAAAUCGUACCCCAAACCGACACAGGUGGUCAGGUAGAGAAUACCAAGGCGCUUGAGAGAACUCGGGUGAAGGAACUAGGCAAAAUGGUGCCGUAACUUCGGGAGAAGGCACGCUGAUAUGUAGGUGAAGCGACUUGCUCGUGGAGCUGAAAUCAGUCGAAGAUACCAGCUGGCUGCAACUGUUUAUUAAAAACACAGCACUGUGCAAACACGAAAGUGGACGUAUACGGUGUGACGCCUGCCCGGUGCCGGAAGGUUAAUUGAUGGGGUCAGCGCAAGCGAAGCUCUUGAUCGAAGCCCCGGUAAACGGCGGCCGUAACUAUAACGGUCCUAAGGUAGCGAAAUUCCUUGUCGGGUAAGUUCCGACCUGCACGAAUGGCGUAAUGAUGGCCAGGCUGUCUCCACCCGAGACUCAGUGAAAUUGAACUCGCUGUGAAGAUGCAGUGUACCCGCGGCAAGACGGAAAGACCCCGUGAACCUUUACUAUAGCUUGACACUGAACAUUGAGCCUUGAUGUGUAGGAUAGGUGGGAGGCUUAGAAGUGUGGACGCCAGUCUGCAUGGAGCCGACCUUGAAAUACCACCCUUUAAUGUUUGAUGUUCUAACGUUGACCCGUAAUCCGGGUUGCGGACAGUGUCUGGUGGGUAGUUUGACUGGGGCGGUCUCCUCCUAAAGAGUAACGGAGGAGCACGAAGGUUGGCUAAUCCUGGUCGGACAUCAGGAGGUUAGUGCAAUGGCAUAAGCCAGCUUGACUGCGAGCGUGACGGCGCGAGCAGGUGCGAAAGCAGGUCAUAGUGAUCCGGUGGUUCUGAAUGGAAGGGCCAUCGCUCAACGGAUAAAAGGUACUCCGGGGAUAACAGGCUGAUACCGCCCAAGAGUUCAUAUCGACGGCGGUGUUUGGCACCUCGAUGUCGGCUCAUCACAUCCUGGGGCUGAAGUAGGUCCCAAGGGUAUGGCUGUUCGCCAUUUAAAGUGGUACGCGAGCUGGGUUUAGAACGUCGUGAGACAGUUCGGUCCCUAUCUGCCGUGGGCGCUGGAGAACUGAGGGGGGCUGCUCCUAGUACGAGAGGACCGGAGUGGACGCAUCACUGGUGUUCGGGUUGUCAUGCCAAUGGCACUGCCCGGUAGCUAAAUGCGGAAGAGAUAAGUGCUGAAAGCAUCUAAGCACGAAACUUGCCCCGAGAUGAGUUCUCCCUGACUCCUUGAGAGUCCUGAAGGAACGUUGAAGACGACGACGUUGAUAGGCCGGGUGUGUAAGCGCAGCGAUGCGUUGAGCUAACCGGUACUAAUGAACCGUGAGGCUUAACCUUACAACGCCGAAGCUGUU